AUGCCACUUGAACUUUGGUCAAGGUGUCGUCGGCGCUUAUGGGAAAUAGCAACGGGAACUACCGACUGCCUUGACAUUGAAACGGGGCAGUGAAGUGAUCCUGACGGCGUUACGUGACUGUCUGCCGUACCGCCGACUGCUGCGUUCCCCCGAGCGGCGGUUCUCUGGCGAAUAAUGGGGUAACGAAAUCAUCGUAUGACUGUGUCAAAGUCCGAAAUAAAAAUACUUUUUGCAGUCGCAGUACACGAAUAAAAACGAGAAGAAUUGCUCAAACGAGAUUGAAAUAAAGAAAACAACAGUUGUACACAGAGCGAAAUAUCACUUGUUUUGUGGCUUGUUUUAAAUAUUUGUUUUGGAACACGCAAAACCUGUUGGUAUAAAAAAAAAUAUAUGUAAAUGUAUAAACAUUAUCUGGAUAUUGUAAGAGAAAAGCUAUUUAUUAUUGUAAUUAUCUGAUUAUCAGCUAAUGAUCUUCGGAGAACGUAUGGUCGUAUGUAACUAUUUUUACAAAUUUUUCCGUUCACUUCAUGUAUACCAAUUCUAUAGGAGUUAUGUGAAAAACAUUAAUAUUCCAUUCAAGAAGAUAAGAUUAUUCGUUUUUGAACUGGAAACGUACUAUCCAUGUGGCAAGUACUCGAAAAUGUUUCCGGUGUGACCUCAACAGCAUCAGCAAGUGAGAAGAACUUUUGCACGGGGCGUUGAAUAUUCCACUGAAUGAAAUCGAGCCAAAGUAGCAAACACGGCAAACAAACAAGCAAACGACGAGUGACCGCUUGCGUGUGUGUGGGUGUGUUUUGGAGGCGAACUGAAAAUAAAUUUGAUUACCGCCGGCGGAGAAAGAGAGAAAGGAGAGCCCUACACCCACACGGGCGCUGAGAAGAAAGAUCGGCGCGCUCUCUUUUGCACUCGCUCAGAUCGCAUGAAUACGCGAGACAUUCACGUAUGCAUGCAUGUAUGUAAAUGGGAGUGUGUGAAAGUAAGGCAGUUGCGUAGCGCUAAAAAAAAAUGACCUAGACAAGCGAGCACUUAUCUUUAGAGUGACCAUCACCGCCGAGCACGUGCUCGAGUGAAAUUUUCCAGGGAAAUACAGACUUUGGCAAUGAUCGCGAGAGUUGGGGGCAGUAGCAAAGCCAAACGGCCGGUUUAAUCGAAGCGGUACUGCCUGAAAACCGGUUAGAAAAUCCACCAAA